rnacentral:lncRNA from 1 species
AUCAUAUUGGUAGAGGUUUUGAGGGCAUAGCCAUUUCCCCCAUAGAUUAAAAGUUUCAUCAGGGCAAGAAUUAUUACCUCUUUCUUUCUUUAUUUUUAUUAUUAUGUUUUUAACCUCCACCUUCUAUCUUCCCUCUAAGUAUCGCUAAGCGCCAUUGAAUCUCAGUCUUCUCUGUUCAUUGAUUGGCUAUUAAAAAUUGAAAACUGUGGGAGCAGCUGGCAGCCUCCUUCCACUAAGGUCUUCCUCCUCAGGUGGUAAACCUGCUCAAUAAGAAUCGCAAUCAGGUUUGCCACAUCUGCCGCAUAGCUGUUGCUCCUUCCACAGGCAAAUAUUUCAGAAACAGGUUCCAUUCCCAGCCAAGGUGGUUGUGUUUCCUACUGUUUUUCUUCCCAAUUGUUUUCAACUUUUACUGGCUUAAAUAAUGAUGCACAUGCAAUCCUGCCCAGAGGAAACCAAAUAUUUUGUUUUUGCUUUCAUACAUUAAGAGAAGGACUACAGUAGAGCCAAAGAGUGCUGGAUGUGAGGCCAGGACGUGGCUUCGGGUCCUGGUCCGCCUCUUACCACUGGGGAGUCACUUUACAUCACUGCUAGGCCUCGAUUUCCUAAUCCAUAAGACCCAUAUCUUUUCAGAGCACAAUUGUGAGGAGUUGAAAAAGGGAAAAGACAUGAAAAGAAGAAAAGGAAAGAGAACUGAGAAGAAAGCAGAUGACUUGUAACCGGUAAUAGUAGACUAAUCCAACAGAAAAGAGGAGAAAACAAAAGAAAAAGAAAUGAGAGAAAGUAAAAGUAAGGACAUAAUAUAAAGGAUUUUUACUCUUGAAACCCAGCCACCAUCUUGGGAAGAAGCCCAGGCCACAUGGAGAAGCCACACAUGGUCACACCAAUGUCAAGCACUAGACAUGUGUGUGAAUGAGCAUGCAGAAGAUUCCAGCCCCAAGCCUCUGAGUCUUCUG